AAGUACGGUUUUCCCCUCCGCUGAGGGAGC
rnacentral:piRNA from 1 species